CAGCCUUGACGUACUCCUUUUCCUAUUUGGAACCAGUCUGUUGUUCAUUUAGACACCUAUUAAAAUUUUGACAAUGUAGUAUUCUUUUGUUCUUGCCAGUAGUUCUAACAAACUCAGUUUUGCUUAAUCAAAAGUUGUUUUCUUUGUAGUCAUUUGUCAGAUAAAUAGUCAAAAAUUGUGGAGAUAAAUGAGAACUCCCAGUGAAAGCCUUGUGCAACCUCUUUAAACUCCUCUGCUUGAAACCUGUUCCUCCAAGAUCACUGAAGUUUCCAUCUAGGAGUCUCUCUGACAGCAACAGUGAGGUAUGCACUGCAUUUGGUCUAAAUUUUAAGUUAUUUUUGGCAGAGUUUAUGCUUCCUAGGAAUGAGAAUUAAUUUUAGUAAUAAAUUUUUUGAAAAUUCUUAUUCUAGAUGAAAACACCUGCUCUAUUACUUACAACAUGACUGACUAUUUUCAUGGUUUCUAUUGUGAGUCAAUAAAGGGAGCAUUCAUGAGGCUGGAGUGCUUACUUAGAGUUAGGUUUUGUUGGAUUGAUUCUCUUUAGACUAACUUUACCUGAGCAUUUGUUCAAAAUCUUGUGAGGAUCUUCCCCAGUCUUAUCUUGGUUGAUUCCAGUUAGUCUCAUUUUGCUCAGAGUUAGGGAGUUUAAGUUCCUCACCUGGUCUUUAGCCAGGUUCUUAAAAUAGGAAGUUGCCCAAGAAAAAUAUUAAUGUGGGUUUGGUUUUUUUCAGUUUAUUUGGCCCUCUAGAUCAAAUUUCUGAUUGUUCUCUAUUUUAGCUCAUGUGCUUAUCUCUCUAGUUGGUGUAAUUCCAUCCAAUAUGUCUGCAACUGUAGAGUCCAUUUGGGGGAACUUAAUUGUUGUAUUGAUGCUUCAUGCAAUUCAUUAGAGUUCAAAUUAUUGUUUAAACCUGUUGAUUAUACUCUUGUGUGGCUCUCAAAGUGUGUGCUAAUGGGUUUCCUAUAUCUAAGACUUCUUUUCUCCUUCCAUAAUGAUGGUUUCACAUUUGUCCAAAGCUGA
rnacentral:lncRNA from 1 species